UACGAAGGGGGCUAGCGUUGUUCGGAAUUACUGGGCGUAAAGCGCACGUAGGCGGAUCAUUUAGUCAGGGGUGAAAUCCCGGGGCUCAACCUCGGAACUGCCUUUGAUACUGAUGGUCUCGAGUCCGAUAGAGGUGAGUGGAAUUCCUAGUGUAGAGGUGAAAUUCGUAGAUAUUAGGAAGAACACCAGUGGCGAAGGCGGCGACCUGGGCCAAUAUUGACGCUGAGGUGCGAAAGCGUGGGGAGCAAACAGG
rnacentral:rRNA from 1 species